AACCUCUCGGAGCUUCUGUCUCUUCAGCAAUAAUGUGUUUGGGUAUCCAGUUCACCACGAUUACACCAAACCCUCCCCGAGAGAGAAGACAGGAUUAUUGUUCAUUACUCUGGACACACUCCUUCCUCUGGGCUUUCUAAUGUGGACUCUAUUCAUUUCUCGAAUCCUCCUCUGUGUGUUUCAAAUAGGAGCGGCCUUUCUAAGCAAUGUCUGACCCAAAGACCAUGCCAUCUUUAAGCUGUAGAUGUGGUCCGGUGACUGGUUAGAGCUGUGUCUCCACUCUGAUAGAGGAAGCAAGUCCGAGAGACAAAGGCUGGCAUGGGAGGAGUGGAAAGACCCCUGGAGAUGGACGAGAUCCAAGCUCUGGUCAUCGCCGCCACUUUUCUCCUCAGCCUUUAGCAUGGGGCCACUGAAUCUCUCCUCUCAGAAGUGAAGUCAAAGUUUCAUUUUCUGCCUUUUGCAGCCAAUGA
rnacentral:lncRNA from 1 species